rnacentral:rRNA from 1 species
GAAUCUUCCGCAAUGGGCGAAAGCCUGACGGAGCAACGCCGCGUGAGUGAUGAAGGUCUUCGGAUCGUAAAACUCUGUUAUUAGGGAAGAACAUACGUGUAAGUAACUGUGCACGUCUUGACGGUACUUAAUCAGAAAGCCACGGCUAACUACGUGCCAGCAGCCGCGGUAAUACGUAGGUGGCAAGCGUUAUCCGGAAUUAUUGGGCGUAAAGCGCGCGUAGGCGGUUUUUUAAGUCUGAUGUGAAAGCCCACG